rnacentral:rRNA from 1 species
AGGCCUGCGGGUUGUAAAGCACUUUCAGUAGAGAAGAAAAGCCUACGGUUAAUACCCGUGAGUCUUGACGUAACCUACAGAAGAAGCACCGGCUAACUCCGUGCCAGCAGCCGCGGUAAUACGGAGGGUGCGAGCGUUAAUCGGAAUUACUGGGCGUAAAGCGCGCGUAGGCGGCUUUGUAAGUCGGAUGUGAAAGCCCAGGGCUUAACCUUGGAAUUGCAUUCGAUACUGCAGAACUAGAGUAUGGUAGAGGGAAGUGGAAUUUCCGGUGUAGCGGUGAAAUGCGUAGAUAUCGGAAGGAACACCAGUGGCGAAGGCGACUUCCUGGGCCAAUACUGACGCUGAGGUGCGAAAGCGUGGGGAACAAACAGGAUUAGAUACCCUGGUAGUCCACGCCGUAAACGAUGAGAACUAGAUGUCGGGAGGAUUUGCCUUUCGGUGUCGCAGCUAACGCAUUAAGUUCUCCGCCUGGGGAGUACGCCGGCAACGGUAAAACUCAAAGGAAUUGACGGGGACCCGCACAAGCGGUGGAGCAUGUGGUUUAAUUCGAUGCAACGCGAAGAACCUUACCUGCCCUUGACAUUGACAGAACCCUGUAGAGAUACGGGGGUGCUUCGGCCUGGAAAACAGGUGCUGCAUGGCUGUCGUCAGCUCGUGUCGUGAGAUGUUGGGUUAAGUCCCGCAACGAGCGCAACCCUUGUCCUUAGUUGCCAGCACUUC